rnacentral:rRNA from 1 species
AGAGUAAAAUGUUUAAUGGCCUGAGGUAGUAGUAGUUAUGUGCUUGAAAUUCAAAGAAUCUGGCGGUAUUUUAGUCUAUUCAGAGGAACCUGUCCUGUAAUUGAUAAUCCACGAUUAAUUGUACUUAUUUUUAGUUUGUAUAUCGUCGUAGUUGGAAUGUUUUAAGAGAAAAUGGAAUGUUCAAGAUUUAUGUUAAAUAAAGGAAAUCAGAUCAAGAUACAGCGUAUAAAUGAGAAGAGAUGGGUUACAAUAAAUUUAUUUAUAUGGUUAGAAUAAUUAACAUUAUUCUAUAAAUUGGAUUUGAUAGUAAUAUGAUUAAGUUAAAUUGUAUGAUUCUAGCUCUAAAAUAUGCACAUAUCGCCCGUCGCUCCCUCCUUAAAGAUGGAUAAGUCGAAAACAUAGUAAAAAGCCGGAGCUGACGACGGUCAUUUCUCUUCCUGUCACUCCGGCCCGCGAAAAGCGAAGGGCCUAUCUCUGGUGUGUCGGAGGAUGUACCGAGCGGGAAGGCUCUUGGCGGUGCUUCGAAGUAAACGACAUGCUCCACCGGUGGUGCGGGGCCCCGUCAGUUCCUUUUGAGUUUUCAGUGUUUGCGAUCCUACUCCCCAGGUUGAGUGGUUGGAGUCCUUAGCUGCAGCACUGAAGGGCGGAAACGCUCUAACACUUCGCACUCAUCGUUACAGCGUGUACUACAAGGUAUUCUAAUGCUGUUUGCUCCCCACGCCUUCGCGCCCCAUUGUCACUAACAGACCAGUAAAGUCGCCUGCACUCUGCUGUUCCUCCGGAUGUCUACGCAUUCAUCAGCUACACUUUGGAGUUCCACCUUCACUUCUGCAUUCACUUCCGCAGUCUACCAAUGACCCUCCCGGUUGACCCUCGCGCUUCCAACUCAGAGCUAGAAUCUACCUGCU